ACUCAGUCAGGCCUCUAGGCCCUAACGCCCUGUGUCGUAACCUUGUCCCUGUAGGGCCCAUGAGGGGGGUGUCACUGGACUGGAAGGGUGUGGGGAGACGGGUGCUGGUGGUCGGGGACGUGAGGGGCUGGGGGGCCCCUGGAGGCUCCAGGGAAGCCAGAGCCACGAUACACCACAGCUUCCAGGGACACACCAGACCUGUUCUACAGGUCGAGGCCUGGGGAAGACUGACUGACUCUCAACUCAGAUGCUCUGUAGCUGUGAACCCCGAGCUCAGCUCCUCUGUGGCGCUCAUCGUCCAGGGACACCACCUGCCCGACAGGUAUAACACCUGACACACACACACACACACACACUCUGAUCAUGUAGAUCUUGGAUGGAAGGGCUUCCUGAUAGCCCCGGUUGAUGGCUGUGCUUGUAUCCAGUAAGGAGUUGAUGAUGAAGGUGGUCCAGACUGUUCCACACUCGAAACCUUACCUGCCCACGCAGCUCAACGUCACAUCUCAGGUCAGCUAAAGUUACAAUGUUGUUGUGUCUGUGUGUGUGUGUGUGUGUGUGUGUGUGAGUGAGAGGAAGAGAGAGAGAUGUUUUCUACUUAAUCAUUUGAGUUGGAGGAAUUUGCUGCAGGGUGCCCACUGAAAAGCACGUGGAGAAUGCGUCAUGUUUCUCCACGUGCUUUUCAAGUGAACUUUAGAAAUGAGGCCAGCAGGGUUCCUCCGCACCCUCUUGCUGUUCCUGAAAAGUACCUGCACACAAACCCCUGCAGCCGGGGUUUUAAAGUUUCCUGUGACACGUUUGCUAGGUUUGAAUAUACAGGUAUGUGUGACAGCAUUGUUUGAAUGUGUCCUUUAUUUCUUGAGUUUCUCUAGCAGAAAAUUGAAAUGAUUGUUAUUGAACUGUUGUUGGACUGAACCGUCUCUCCGGUUCAGUUGAAUCAGUCACGCUCCAGUGCCAAUGGUCUGCUUGAGCUGCGCUCAGACUCCAGGGUCAGGGGGCAGGCGGAGCUGCGCUCAGACUCCAGGAUCAGAGGGCAUGCGGAGCUGCAUUCAAGCAGGAGGACGUUCUCGGCUCGGUGGGAGCUGAGGGUCACGGAGGGGGGCUACCGCCAAGCUAUGGAGCUCAACCACACAUACCCACAGGUAGCCACCCAGUUAGUGUACAAUUGGAAACACGGCCUCAGUCCCAAAAGAAGGCUUAUAUUCAGUGUUUGCAGAUUUGUAUGAACAACUUGUAAGCAGCCUGAGUCAGUUCAAACAGUUUACAACAAUUCCCCUUUUGAAGAUUUGAUUGCAUCAAAUAUGUGGUUCACUCAGAUCUGCAAAGAAUUUCGUUAUUGACAGAAAAUCUUCCUAACUUUCUGUAAACACAGAAGAAACCCUGAAUAACCGGCCUCACAUUUACGUCUUUCCUGAAUAACCUGGAGACAUUUACUGAACAUUGUUUGUUCUUAUACUCAGGUUCUUUACUGUAGGAAGUUACAGAUUAUAGUGGUGGUGGAGCCAUUAGGUUCUUUUCAUCUCAGAAACACUGAGGCCUCACAUUUGAAUAGAGCCAGACGUGUUUUCCACAGAGCCUUUUAUCUUAAUGGGGGGGUCAUUCCCCUACUCCAUGUACCAGGAUGAAACAUCUGUUCGUGUCGGCCAUUUGGCCCUUUUAUUCAUGUCACCAGGACCAUUAAAUGGGCCUCUCUUUUACUGUCCCUUUGUUAUAAAGUGAUAUCUAACUCUGUACUGGUUAGAGAAUCUGACUAAACUUCCAAGUGGCAUGUAAAAUCAAUUAAUUGGAUCUUUAAAAUCCUCCGUAUCUGUGUAUAACUCUCUAAAUUAAUUCCCCACACCAUCAACACAGCUGUUACUUGUGAUGUGUCCUAUAAGAUUAAUUGACCCAACUUUUAUAGCUCUUUUCGUUACAGAAAGAAUCUCGUGUUUGAAGAAACAAAACAAAAUAAUAAAAAUUGGACAAAAACGUCUCUCCCUGAGAUAAAGGUUUUCAGCUGUUAAUGCCUCCUGCAAAUAGAACAACGGAGAGGGAAACACAUGGCCUGAGCUGAGUGAGGGUGGCGGUGGUCAAUGAGGGACAUGAGUUGGUCCUCCGACUGCAGGCAGCACUGUGACACGCCGUUCAAGGUGUCGUCCCCCGAAUGUAAAUGUAACCGACCCCGACCCUAGUCCCUUUCAUGAUCAUGUGGCUGCCUGUGUUGGCAGC
ensembl:lncRNA